rnacentral:rRNA from 1 species
GACGAACGCUGGCGGCGCGCUUAACACAUGCAAGUCGAACGGAAAGGCCUGCUUUCCCUUGUGGAUUGCGGGUACUCGAGUGGCGAACGGGUGAGUAACACGUGAGUGAUCUGCCCCCAACUUGGGUAUAAGCCUGGGAAACUGGGUCUAAUUCCCGAUAGGACUGCAGGGUGGUGCCUGUGGUGGAAAACGAUUUUCUAGUGGUUGGGGAUGAGCUCGCGGCCUAUCAGCUUGUUGGUGGGGUAAUGGCCUACCAAGGCGGCGACGGGUAGCCGGCCUGGGAGGGUGGACGGCCACAUUGGGACUGGGAUACGGCCCAGACUCCUACGGGAGGCAGCAGUGGGGAAUAUUGGACAAUGGGCGGAAGCCUGAUGCAGCGACGCCGCGUGGGGGAUGACGGCCUUCGGGUUGUAAACUCCUUUCGACCGCGAGGAAGCCACCUGGUUGGAAGGGUGGUGACGGUAGUGGUAGAAGAAGCACCGGCUAACUACGUG